UAGAGUUUGAUCAUGGCUCAGAUUGAACGCUGGCGGCAGGCCUAACACAUGCAAGUCGAGCGGCAGCGGGAAGUAGCUUGCUACUUUGCCGGCGAGCGGCGGACGGGUGAGUAAUGUCUGGGAAACUGCCUGAUGGAGGGGGAUAACUACUGGAAACGGUAGCUAAUACCGCAUGAUGUCGCAAGACCAAAGUGGGGGACCUUCGGGCCUCACGCCAUCGGAUGUGCCCAGAUGGGAUUAGCUAGUAGGUGAGGUAAUGGCUCACCUAGGCGACGAUCCCUAGCUGGUCUGAGAGGAUGACCAGCCACACUGGGACUGAGACACGGUCCAGACUCCUACGGGAGGCAGCAGUGGGGAAUAUUGCACAAUGGGCGCAAGCCUGAUGCAGCCAUGCCGCGUGUGUGAAGAAGGCCUUAGGGUUGUAAAGCACUUUCAGCGAGGAGGAAGGGUUCAGUGUUAAUAGCACUGUGCAUUGACGUUACUCGCAGAAGAAGCACCGGCUAACUCCGUGCCAGCAGCCGCGGUAAUACGGAGGGUGCAAGCGUUAAUCGGAAUUACUGGGCGUAAAGCGCACGCAGGCGGUUUGUUAAGUCAGAUGUGAAAUCCCCGCGCUUAACUUGGGAACUGCAUUUGAAACUGGCAAGCUAGAGUCUUGUAGAGGGGGGUAGAAUUCCAGGUGUAGCGGUGAAAUGCGUAGAGAUCUGGAGGAAUACCGGUGGCGAAGGCGGCCCCCUGGACAAA
rnacentral:rRNA from 1 species